GGAAAGCCAAGUCACAGAUGGAACUGAACUUGGUGAGGGAUGUUAAAAACAAGAAGGAGUUCUACAGGUACAUAGGCAGGAGGAGACAGGCCAAGGAGAGUGUUCCCCCUCUGAUGAAAGGUAAUGGGGAGCUGGCUUCCUCAGACAUAGAAAAAGCUGAGGUACUCAAUGAGUGCUUUGCCUCAGUCUUCAUAGGUGGUCAGGCUUCCUAUGUCUGCCAGGACCAUGAGCCUCUAGGUGAGGGUGUGGGGAGUGGUUUCUGUCCCACUGUAACAGUGGAACAAGUCUGAGUCCUACUCAUGAAAAUGAAUGUGUAUAAGUCCAUGGGGUCAGAUGAUAUCCAUCCUAGGGUUCUGAAAGAGAUGGCUGAUGUUGUUGCCAAGCCGCUCUCUGUCAUAUCUGAAAAAUCCUGGCAGUCUGGUGAAGUCCCCGGUGACUGGAAAAGGGAAACAUUCCUCCUAUUUUUUUUUUUAAUUAUUAUUAUUAUUAUUUUAUUUUAUUUUUUAAGAAAGGGAGAAAGGAAGACCCAGGGAACUACAGGCUGCUGAUCCUCACCUCUGUGCCUGGGAAGAUCAUGGAGCAGAUCCUCCUAGAAGCUAUGUUAAGGCACGUACGAGGUAAAGAGGUGAUUCAAGACAGCCAGCAUGGCUUCACCAAGGGCAGAUCGCACCUGAACAACCAGGUGGCUUUCUAUGAUGGAGUGAUGGCUU
ensembl:lncRNA